CUGGCGGAUGCUUUACACAUGCAAGUCGAACGAGUACUUUUUACGAGUGGCGAACGGGUGAGUAACGCGUGGGAACCUACCUUGAGGUAAAGAAUAACUACAGGAAACUGUAGCUAAUACUUUAUGUGCCCUACGGGGGAAAAAUUUAUUGCCUUUUGAGGGGCCCGCGUCAGAUUAGCUUGUUGGUAAGGUAAUGGCUUACCAAGGCUAUGAUCUGUAGCUGGUUUGAGAGGAUGAUCAGCCACAUUGGGACUGAGACACGGCCCAGACUCCUACGGGAGGCAGCAGUGGGGAAUCUUGGACAAUGGGGGAAACCCUGAUCCAGCAAUUCCGCGUGAAUGAUGAAGGCCUUAGGGUUGUAAAGUUCUUUUAGUAAGGAAGAUGAUGACGGUACUUACAGAAAAAGCUCCGGCUAACUCCGUGCCAGCAGCCGCGGUAAUACGGAGGGGGCAAGCGUUGUUCGGAAUUACUGGGCGUAAAGAGCGAGCAGGUGGUUCAUUAAGUCAAUUGUGAAAGCUCAAGGCUUAACCUUGAAAUUGCUUUUGAUACUGAUGAACUAGAGUUUGGGAGAGGAUAGUGGAAUUCUAAGUGUAGAAGUGAAAUUCGUAGAUAUUUAGAGGAACACCGACAGCGAAGGCAACUAUCUGGCCCUUUACUGACACUCAGAAGCGAAAGCUUGGGUAGCAAACAGGAUUAGAUACCCUGGUAGUCCAUGCUGUAAACGAUGAGUGCUAGAUGUUAGAAGUUUACUUCUAGUAUCGAAGCUAACGCGUUAAGCACUCCGCCUGGG
rnacentral:rRNA from 1 species